AUUCAAACCUGCAACUAUGGGUCCAAAGGCAGCAGCUCUAACCACUGCACUACCAGCUGCUCAAAUUAAAGCAAUAUCAGAAAUACAUAAACGGAAUAGUAUAGAAAUAAACUGAAGGACAACCAUAUUAUGUAUCUUUAUUGGCUUGUGACUUAGUGGCCAAAGUGAAUUUAGACUUACAAACAAACUGGGUUAUGAACACAAUUUCUAUACCAAUUGCGUUUGUAAGAUGAGGAGCCAUAUUAAUAUAAUAGAACCUUGUUCAAAGCUCCGUCACUCGGGUGACAAGGGCACUCUAUAAUAAACUGAAUUUAACUAAAUAUAGCCCAAAAUGUAAACUGAAAAUAUAGUGAGAAUAUAGUUGAAAAGACAUGCAAAGGCAUCGCAUACCAAAAUACUGCAGUUUGUCAUUGUAAAAACAUAAUUUCUAAAUACAUUUUUUGUGUAACUGAACACAGCAGCGGAAGACAACGCAGGGUAGGAACUAAUUACAGUUCAACCUGCACAGACUGAUCAUGUUUAUUUCAGUAAACGGCAUUCAAAUGAAGGAAAUACUUGCACUUUCUGGAAUUUGAAACUCUUGUAUACAAAACAGCAUAUGUGGGAAAGGUAAAGUAGCCCAUCCUUGUCCAACACAACACAGAGAUAACCUCUCAGUUUAGUGUUAAUCUAGGGGUGGGCUAACCCUAACCCUAACCCUUACUCUAACUUUAACACUAACCCCAACUCUUACCCUAACCCUCACUAUACCCCAACACUAACCCUGACUCUUACUCUAAUCCUAACCCUUACUUUUACCCUCACUCUACCCUAACCUUUAACACUAACCAUAACCCUAAUUCUUACACUAACCCUUAAUUUUACCCUCACUCUAAUCCUAACUCUUUAGUCUUAACCUAACCCUUAAAACUAACCCUGACUCUUACCCUAACCUUAACCGUAUCAAAGCAGAACAAAGAAGAGCUGUUCCAUUCCUAAAGCUACAAUCAACCUGAGAUCAUGAUUAUCAUAAGGUGACAAAAUGUAAACCGGAAUCCAAAAACUGUACAAAACCUUUUUCGUACUUCAUGAAACUGACUGCAGAAAUGAGAGAAGUGAUGCAGGUGACCAGCUGAUGCUUCUCUCCAAAGUGACUUACAACAGUGAGCUACUUGGAAUUCCUGGAAAAUUUUUACUGCAGCAAUUUAGGAGCGAGGAGGUCACUGAAACACCACCGAACCCUUGAAGCCCCACACCUGAUGCCCUGUACUGGAGAUCUGAGUCCUGUUCAACUGAUCAUUCUUUAUUCUUUAACCAUACUUAAAGUAUAAGACACGUUGACGAUAAACGCGCAUCCCUUUUUGAAAAUCAGUGCUUCUUGGAUGAUUCGGCUCAUGCUGCCCAAAAAAGAUAAAUCCGCAAAGUCGGGAAUGCCGAGAAAUCUACAUCCAUAGCAGAUCAGCUCUGCCCUCCCAUGGCCCAAUACCUGCCCCACAUGAGCUGGGUGUGGCAGAUCAUGCUGGAAGUGGGCGUGGUCACAUACCUGCGUUCCAAGUCGCUCCUGCCAGCGGUGAUGUCAAUCUCUUUGUUAUCCAAGCAGAACUUGGCUGCCUGUACCAAAUACAUCCUUAUUUAUUUUUUGUUAUGUAACUGUCUAAAGGAAGUAUUUAUUAACCCCAGC